CGGUGUUUAACUGGCGUGAUGUGGGACGUCCUACCGGUGGGCUUAGCCUCGCGAGGGGCGGCCCAACUAAUAUCCCGUCGCGGUGCUCUUUACUGAGUGUCGAAGUCGGGCCGGUACGUUUACUUGAACAAAUUACGAUGCUUAAAGCAGCUAUCCUCUCCUGAAUACUGCGUGCAUUGGGAUAAUUGGAAUAGGACCUCGGUUCUAUUUUGUUGGUUUUCGGAACCCCGAGGUAAUGAUUAUAGGGACAGAUGGGGGCAUUCGUAUGCGACGUAGAGGUGAAAUUCUUGGAUCGUCGCAAGACGGACAGAAGCGAAAGCAUUUGCCAAAAAUGUUUUCAUUAAUCAAGAACGAAAGUUAGAGGUUCGAAGGCGAUCAGAUACCGCCCUAGUUCUAACCAUAAACGAUGCCAGCUAGCGAUCCGCCGAAGUUCCUCCGAUGACUCGGCGGGCAGCUUCCGGGAAACCAAAGCUUUUGGGUUCCGGGGGAAGUAUGGUUGCAAAGCUGAAACUUAAAGGAAUUGACGGAAGGGCACCACCAGGAGUGGAGCCUGCGGCUUAAUUUGACUCAACACGGGAAACCUCACCAGGCCCAGACACCGGAAGGAUUGACAGAUUGAUAGCUCUUUCUUGAUUCGGUGGGUGGUGGUGCAUGGCCGUUCUUAGUUGGUGGAGCGAUUUGUCUGGUUAAUUCCGAUAACGAACGAGACUCUAGCCUGCUAAAUAGGCGUACCUUAUGGUAUCGCGAAGGCCCCCGGCUUCGGCCGGUGGGUUUUUACUACCAACGUACAAACAAAUCUUCUUAGAGGGACAGGCGG
rnacentral:rRNA from 1 species